GUAGGCUGCAACUCGCCUACAUGAAGUUGGAGUUGCUAGUAAUCGCGAAUCAGAAUGUCGCGGUGAAUGCGUUCCCGGGUCUUGUACACACCGCCCGUCACACCACGGAAGUUGGGGGUGCCCAAAGUUGGCAGGAAAAUAUGUUACCUAAGGCAAAACCGAUGACUGGGGUGAAGUCGUAACAAGGUAAC
rnacentral:rRNA from 1 species